UGCUUUCUCCAUUUCUCUGUUUUGUUUUUAUUUUUUUAGUUGUGGAAGGGAUUUUGAAGCAUAUAAGCUGUGAAUCAGGAGAUCGGUGGAGAUUGCUUCUUCUUCACUACCUUAAAAAGGGAAUUCUUGGGGAUAGAUAGAGGUUUCAAAACUUUCAUUGGUGCUAUUAACUUCAAGAAAGACCGGCGUAACAAUUCCAAAAAAUUUCGGGAGUGAUUGUUGCUGCUCUAACCCUUUGGUUCGAUUCAAAGCUUGAAGCAGCUCUCAGUUCCUUUGUUGGUGGA